rnacentral:rRNA from 1 species
AUUGAACGCUGGCGGCAGGCUUAACACAUGCAAGUCGAGCGGGGGAAGGUAGCUUGCUACCGGACCUAGCGGCGGACGGGUGAGUAAUGCUUAGGAAUCUGCCUAUUAGUGGGGGACAACAUCUCGAAAGGGAUGCUAAUACCGCAUACGUCCUACGGGAGAAAGCAGGGGAUCUUCGGACCUUGCGCUAAUAGAUGAGCCUAAGUCGGAUUAGCUAGUUGGUGGGGUAAAGGCCUACCAAGGCGACGAUCUGUAGCGGGUCUGAGAGGAUGAUCCACCACACUGGGACUGAGCCACGGCCCAGACUCCCACGGGAGGCAGCAGUGGGGAAUAUUGGACAAUGGGGGGAACCCUGAUCCAGCCAUGCCGCGUGUGUGAAGAAGGCCUUAUGGUUGUAAAGCACUUUAAGCGAGGAGGAGGCUACUUUAGUUAAUACCUAGAGAUAGUGGACGUUACUCGCAGAAUAAGCACCGGCUAACUCUGUGCCAGCAGCCGCCGUAA